rnacentral:lncRNA from 1 species
GGUGUGUUGCGUAGAGUAAUCUUUUAUUUUUUGUUGGAUUGGGCUUUAUAUUUAGGCAUUAGUAGAUGUGUUUUUAAAUUUUAACAUAAAUGGGACACUUACUAAAAAGUGUCCCAAACAUGUGUCACUAUAACCUAAUUUUGUUGUAGUGGGCCUCUAACGUCAAUUUUUUUUUUCUUUGUUCAUGUACAUAAAAGAAAAUUUAUAAUUUUUUUAAGUCUAAUCUAAUUUUUUAUUUUGUACUAUAAAUAUUUAAAAUAUAUAAAAAAAUUGGAUAAAAAAAGUUUUUGAAAAAUUGGAUUUACACUUUCAUCCUUAAAACUAUAAGACGAAUAAGAAUUUAAUCCUCAAAAUUUUAAUGUAUUAUGAUUUAAACAAUAAGAUAUGUGAUAUUUUCAUCCUCAACCUUUAAUUAGUUACUUAUUUUUCAGUUGUUUAUUUUAUGUAAUUCUUUGACUUUUUAUUUUGCUAUGUUUUAAUUUAUUUAUUUAUUUAUUUAUUUCUACAAAGUCGUCCCGCAGCAACGCGCGGUCCUUCACUAGUAU